rnacentral:other from 1 species
UCAAUCCUGAUGUGUUCGUCUAUUAAAAGUGUUUUGACCGAACACCUAUAUACUUGGGAGCUUAACUCGUUUCUGGGUUGCAUGCAUGCCUCGUUUUUAAACAGAGGAAGCAUAAAAAACCUAGAGCAAAGCACCCACCUGCCUAAAGCGGGAUCAAAACUUACAAUUAGACGGCACGAUUGGGAUUGAU